AGUUAAGAAGCCACAGACAAGCCUAAUGUCUUGAAAACAUUAUGAAAGAAGUUUAAAUCUUCUAUUAACUU
rnacentral:tRNA from 1 species